ACGGCUCAGUAACACGUGGACAAUCUGCCCUGAAGAAGAGGAUAAUCCCGGGAAACUGGGGGUAAUACUCUAUAGUCCGGGAGGACUGGAAUGUUCUCCGGAUGAAAGAUCCGUCGCUUCAGGAUGAGUCUGCGGCCGAUUAGGUAGUUGUUGGGGUAAUUGCCCAACAAGCCUGUAAUCGGUACGGGUUGUGGGAGCAAGAGCCCGGAGAUGGAUUCUGAGACACGAAUCCAGGCCCUACGGGGCGCAGCAGGCGCGAAAACUUUACCAUGCGGGCAACCGUGAUAAGGAAACCCCGAGUGCCAGCACAGGCUGGCUGUCCGCCAGUUUAAACAACUGGCGAAGAAAGGGCCGGGCAAGACCGGUGCCAGCCGCCGCGGUAAUACCGGCGGCUCGAGUGGUGGCCGCUAUUACUGGGCUUAAAGGGUCCGUAGCUUGAUAAUAGGGUCCCUUGAGAAAUCCGCCGGCUUAACUGGCGGGCGUUCAGGGGAAACUUGUUUUCUAUGGACCGGGAGAGGUGAGGGGUACUGCCGGGGUAGGAGUGAAAUCCUGUAAUCCCGGUGGGACCACCUAUGGCGAAGGCAUCUCACCAGAACGGGUCCGACAGUGAGGGACGAAAGCUGGGGGAGCAAACCGGAUUAGAUACCCGGGUAGUCCCAGCUGUAAACUAUGUGCGUUAGGUGUGUCAGUGACCACGUGUCACUGAGGUGCCGAAGGGAAACCGUGAAACGCACCGCCUGGGGAGUACGGUCGCAAGGCUGAAACUUAAAGGAAUUGGCGGGGGAGCAC
rnacentral:rRNA from 1 species